GGGUUGUGAGGUUAAGCGAACAAGCGUACACGGUGGAUGCCCUGGCAGUCAGAGGCGAUGAAGGACGUGCUAAUCUGCGAAAAGCGCCGGUAAGGUGAUAUGAACCGUUAUAACCGGCGAUGUCCGAAUGGGGAAACCCGGUGCACUUCGGUGCAUCAUCGUUAGCUGAAUACAUAGGCUAACGAGGCGAACCGGGGGAACUGAAACAUCUAAGUACCCCGAGGAAAAGAAAUCAACCGAGAUUCCCCCAGUAGCGGCGAGCGAACGGGGAACAGCCCAGAGCCUGAAUCAGCUUGUGUGUCAGUGGAACGGUCUGGAAAGGCCGGCGAUACAGGGUGACAGCCCCGUACACGAAGGCACACAGGCUGUGAGCUCGAUGAGUAGGGCGGGACACGUGAUAUCCUGUCUGAAGAUGGGGGGACCAUCCUCCAAGGCUAAAUACUCCUGACUGACCGAUAGUGAACCAGUACCGUGAGGGAAAGGCGAAAAGAACCCCGGCGAGGGGAGUGAAACAGAACCUGAAACCGUGUACGUACAAGCAGUGGGAGCCUUCGUAAGAGGGUGACUGCGUACCUUUUGUAUAAUGGGUCAGCGACUUAUAUUCUGUAGCAAGGUUAACCGUAUAGGGGAGCCGAAGGGAAACCGAGUCUUAACCGGGCGUUAAGUUGCAGGGUAUAGACCCGAAACCCGGUGAUCUAGCCAUGGGCAGGUUGAAGGUUGGGUAACACUAACUGGAGGACCGAACCGACUAAUGUUGAAAAAUUAGCGGAUGACCUGUGGCUGGGGGUGAAAGGCCAAUCAAACCGGGAGAUAGCUGGUUCUCCCCGAAAGCUAUUUAGGUAGCGCCUCGUGAACUCAUCUCCGGGGGUAGAGCACUGUUUCGGCUAGGGGGCCAUCCCGGCUUACCAACCCGAUGCAAACUGCGAAUACCGGAGAAUGUUAUCACGGGAGACACACGGCGGGUGCUAACGUCCGUCGUGAAGAGGGAAACAACCCAGACCGCCAGCUAAGGUCCCAAAGUCAUGGUUAAGUGGGAAACGAUGUGGGAAGGCCCAGACAGCCAGGAUGUUGGCUUAGAAGCAGCCAUCAUUUAAAGAAAGCGUAAUAGCUCACUGGUCGAGUCGGCCUGCGCGGAAGAUGUAACGGGGCUAAACCAUGCACCGAAGCUGCGGCAGCGACACUAUGUGUUGUUGGGUAGGGGAGCGUUCUGUAAGCCUGCGAAGGUGUGCUGUGAGGCAUGCUGGAGGUAUCAGAAGUGCGAAUGCUGACAUAAGUAACGAUAAAGCGGGUGAAAAGCCCGCUCGCCGGAAGACCAAGGGUUCCUGUCCAACGUUAAUCGGGGCAGGGUGAGUCGACCCCUAAGGCGAGGCCGAAAGGCGUAGUCGAUGGGAAACAGGUUAAUAUUCCUGUACUUGGUGUUACUGCGAAGGGGGGACGGAGAAGGCUAUGUCGGCCGGGCGACGGUUGUCCCGGUUUAAGCGUGUAGGCUGACUUUCCAGGCAAAUCCGGAAGGUUAAGGCUGAGGCGUGAUGACGAGGCACCACGGUGCUGAAGUGACAAAUGCCCUGCUUCCAGGAAAAGCCUCUAAGCAUCAGGUAACAUCAAAUCGUACCCCAAACCGACACAGGUGGUCAGGUAGAGAAUACCAAGGCGCUUGAGAGAACUCGGGUGAAGGAACUAGGCAAAAUGGUGCCGUAACUUCGGGAGAAGGCACGCUGACAUGUAGGUGAAGCCCCUGCGGGUGGAGCUGAAGUCAGUCGAAGAUACCAGCUGGCUGCAACUGUUUAUUAAAAACACAGCACUGUGCAAACACGAAAGUGGACGUAUACGGUGUGACGCCUGCCCGGUGCCGGAAGGUUAAUUGAUGGGGUUAUCGCAAGAGAAGCUCCUGAUCGAAGCCCCGGUAAACGGCGGCCGUAACUAUAACGGUCCUAAGGUAGCGAAAUUCCUUGUCGGGUAAGUUCCGACCUGCACGAAUGGCGUAAUGAUGGCCAGGCUGUCUCCACCCGAGACUCAGUGAAAUUGAACUCGCUGUGAAGAUGCAGUGUACCCGCGGCAAGACGGAAAGACCCCGUGAACCUUUACUACAGCUUGACACUGAACAUUGAGCCUUGAUGUGUAGGAUAGGUGGGAGGCUUUGAAGCGUGGACGCCAGUCUGCGUGGAGCCGACCUUGAAAUACCACCCUUUAAUGUUUGAUGUUCUAACCUGGCGCCGUGAUCCGGCGUGGGGACAGUGUCUGGUGGGUAGUUUGACUGGGGCGGUCUCCUCCCAAAGUGUAACGGAGGAGCACGAAGGUCAGCUAAUCCUGGUCGGACAUCAGGAGGUUAGUGCAAUGGCAUAAGCUGGCUUGACUGCGAGAGUGACGGCUCGAGCAGGUGCGAAAGCAGGUCAUAGUGAUCCGGUGGUUCUGUAUGGAAGGGCCAUCGCUCAACGGAUAAAAGGUACUCCGGGGAUAACAGGCUGAUACCGCCCAAGAGUUCAUAUCGACGGCGGUGUUUGGCACCUCGAUGUCGGCUCAUCACAUCCUGGGGCUGAAGUAGGUCCCAAGGGUAUGGCUGUUCGCCAUUUAAAGUGGUACGCGAGCUGGGUUUAGAACGUCGUGAGACAGUUCGGUCCCUAUCUGCCGUGGGCGCUGGAGAAUUGAGGGGGGCUGCUCCCAGUACGAGAGGACCGGAGUGGACGCAUCACUGGUGUUCGGGUUGUCAUGCCAAUGGCACUGCCCGGUAGCUAAAUGCGGAAGAGAUAAGUGCUGAAAGCAUCUAAGCACGAAACUUGCCCCGAGAUGAGUUCUCCCUGAGACUUUAAGUCUCCUGAAGGAACGUUGAAGACGACGACGUUGAUAGGCCGGGUGUGUAAGCGCAGCGAUGCGUUGAGCUAACCGGUACUAAUGAACCGUGAGGCUUAACCUUACAACGCCAAAGAAGU
rnacentral:rRNA from 1 species